rnacentral:tRNA from 1 species
AGUAGUUAAAUCCUACUAUUAAGGG